rnacentral:misc_RNA from 1 species
GAUGAAGAACGCAGCGAAAUGCGAUAAGUAAUGUGAAUUGCAGAAUUCAGUGAAUCAUCGAAUCUUUGAACGCACAUUGCGCUCGCCAGUAUUCUGGCGAGCAUGCCUGUUCGAGCGUCAUUUCAACCAUCAAGCUCUGCUUGCGUUGGGGAUCCGCGUCUGACGCGGUCCCUCAAAAACAGUGGCGGGCUCGCUAGUCACACCGAGCGUAGUAACUCUACAUCGCUAUGGUCGUGCGGCGGGUUCUUGACGUAAAACCCCCAAUUUCUAAGGUUGACCUCGGAUCAGGUAGGAAUACCCGCUGAACUUAAGCAUAUCAAUAAGCGGAGGA